AACGAACGCUGGCGGCAUGCCUAACACACGCAAGUCGAACGAGACCUUCGGGUCUAGUGGCGAACGGGUGCGUAACGCGUGGGAACCUGCCCUUAGGUUCGGAAUCACUCCCCGAAAGGGGUGCUAAUACCGGAUAAUGUCUUCGGACCAAGGAUUUAUCGCCUUUGGAUGGGCCCGCGUUGGAUUAGCUAGUUGGUAGGGUAAAAGCCUACCAAGGCGACGAUCCAUAGCUGGUCUGAGAGGAUGAUCAGCCACACUGGGACUGAGACACGGCCCAGACUCCUACGGGAGGCAGCAGUGGGGAAUAUUGGACAAUGGGCGAAAGCCUGAUCCAGCAAUGCCGCGUGAGUGAUGAAGGCCUUAGGGUUGUAAAGCUCUUUUACCCGGGAUGAUAAUGACAGUACCGGGAGAAUAAGCUCCGGCUAACUCCGUG
rnacentral:rRNA from 1 species